ACAGCCUAGCUUGAACAUGAGCCACAUGAAUGAGGACCAAAUACAUAAGUGUCACCGUAUAUAUUCAGCAGACGGACUGGCUCCCAUGAGAACACAGAAGGACAGAGUGAGCUGAUAGAAGGCUCUGCGAGUCACCUUUCAGGUGGCAUGGAUGUGUGGCUGGGGAUGGUGGCCUCUGGGAUACACCAAUUAGAUUGCUGCCUGCCCACUGCAGGCCCUUCCAAGUUAUGAAAGCCAGCUUCAUGUCUGUUUCCAUUUGCCAAUUUUAUUGUUCUUAACAAAAUCAGGAGUUCAGAGUAUGACCGACUGCAGUGCUGCCAGAGAGGUCCAAGUACAGAAGGGGACACAGAUGAAACAUGUCCCCACCACCACCUUCUUCUGACAGAGCUGUCCUUUUUUGCCCUUUUAUUAGGAGGAGAAGGAGAACUACAGGCUGCUCCUUUACUGUGCCUGCCUUUCAGUAGCACAAACCAGGAGAGGGUUGGGAUCAGAGGGCUGAAACUGCUCAGAGCCAGAUGAGUCAGAUUGCAUGUGCUCCUCUUUCCUGCAGCAUCACAAGCAGUAGCAGUUGCUGAAAGUGAGAAAAUGCCACUCAAACAGCAGCAAACGUACCCACUGCUCUACCUGACAACAGGAGCAGCUACUACAGAUGAACUGGCAGGGGUGGGGGCAGAAAACAAUGCACAGAUGCAUUGCUCAUUCUCCUUCCCUGCUCUUCCCAGGCUGCCAAUCUCUCCUUCUUUGCUUGCUAUGCCCUUGCUGAAUGAUUUGUCAUUCACCUAGGAAUGAGGAAUAAGAAUCCCCAACAAUGAGGCUGGAUACCCUGUGGCUCAUUUCCCCUUCCCCCCGUUCCCCGCCUGAUACUCUGCCUCCUUAGGUCAUCUAUGAUGGGGGUGGCCCUGAUUGUUCUUUCCAGAGAAAGGAGGCGGAAGGAGUUGCAGAUGGACUCAGACUGCCUGAUGCUAAUGAUGCCAACCUACAAAAGGAAGAUGUACUGCCUUCUCCUUCAUUUCAUGAAACGUAAACAUGAUACAUAUCAGAAGCAGAGAAUUCCAGGAGUAUGUCAUAUAUUUUGAAUACCCUUUGAUUUUGCUGUCCAUAUAGAAUGGUGCAGGCUAUAUAAUUAUGCCUAUACUCUUUCUGUGGGAAAGGCAUUUCAAAAUUGUUUGCAUAAGGAAGGACAUUUCAAAAUUGUUUGGACGAGAAAAAGGGAGAAGAAGA